rnacentral:rRNA from 1 species
CCUAGUCCUUUAGCGGGGGAUAGCCCUGGGAAACUGGGGGUAAUACCGCAUAAGCCAGUAAGAGCGCAUGCUCAUGCUGGGGAAGGGAUGCGCAAGCAUCUCACUGAAGGAGGGCUUUGCGGCCUAUCAGGUAGUUGGUGGGGUAAAGGCCUACCAAGCCGAUGACGGGUAGCUGGUCUGAGAGGACGAUCAGCCACACUGGGACUGAGAUACGGCCCAG